rnacentral:lncRNA from 1 species
UGGAAAACCUCCUCGAUGUGAGAAGGAAAAACCACGGGACCGUAGUCCACUCAACAAUCCACUAUAUAAAUGUAUGUGAGUACAACCACGUCCUCCCUGUUCAACAGCCUGAACAGAACAGAGACACUAGCUUCAAAGAGCUAUCUCCAACACAAGAACAACAACAAUAAGAGAGCAACACAAAGCUUCAAAACCGGCAGCAACCAAACGACCUCAGCUCACAAGUAUUCCGGCAACCAGAGACUAAUCCCACCGUACAAAUCCAAGAUGAACAAGUCAGUAACACCUCUGCCAAAUAUCAGCUCAAUCAGAGAAGAUCUCACCGUCGGAUUUACCAAACACUCAAGACAGCACCACUGAAGAACUGUGACGACCAGCUUCACGAAAAUCCAGACAACAGAAGAUCCAACCGUUAGAAUCCAAAUCCCUUCGGUGAACCUUUAACCCACUGACUGACGAAACUUCCCACAAAAUAUCAGUCCGAUCAGGAUCCGUUUGACCCUCCAAACCUGCCUUGACAAACCCAGACGAAAAUCUGUCUCUUCUCUCCUUUUCUCUCUUUUGUGUCAAGAGUCUUCUUGAGUACUCUUCUUUCUUUCUUGUGUUCUGUCCCCUCACAAACUGGGUUAAGAGACUUUAUAUAUGUGUCUCACUAACCUUAAUAACCUCCAAGGCCCAAUACUAAUCUCAUGGACUAAUAUCAAUAGCCUAUCACCAAGUUUGGUUAUCACCAACCAAACCCAUUUGGGUUUCCUCCAUCUAGAAGGAACCCAACAAACUCCCCCUCCGACUAGGUGGAGGAAACAGCCAUUCCGGCUAUCCCUCGGCAUACUUCAAGCUUCCCCCUCGGCAAAGACUUUGUCAUCAUAUCAGCUCCAUUAUCAUCCGUAUGAACUUUUGCAAGUUCCACUUCCUUAGAAGCAACCACAUCUCGUAUCCAAUGAUAUCUUCUCUGGAUGUGUUUCGACUUCGAAUGAAAUGUAGAGUUCUUCCCGAGACAAAUAGCGCUUUGACUAUCACAAAGCAACUCAUACUUUUCUUGCUUGAAACCGAUCUCUUCACAGAAGUUCUUCAUCCACAACAACUCUUUACAAGCUUCAGUUGCAGCAAUGAACUCUGCCUCAGUGGUAGAUAAUGCAACACACUUUUGCAACCUUGACUGCCAUGCCACAGCUCCACCCGCAAAUGUUACCAAGUAACCCGAAGUAGACUUGCUAGAAUCAACAUCUCCAGACAUGUCAGAAUCAGUGAAACUGACCAGCAAAGGCUUCUUAACCCCGAAAGUAAUCUUCAGAUCAGAAGUCCCUCUGAGAUAUCUCAAAAUCCACUUCACAGCAUUCCAAUGUUCUCUCCCCGGAUUGGAGAUAAACCUGCUGACAACUCCAACGGCGUAGGCUAAAUCCGGUCUUGUACAGACCAUGGCAUACAUCAAACUACCCACUGCAGAAGCAUAUGGAACCUUCACCAUAUCUUCCUUCUCCUCAUAUGUCUUUGGACUCUGUUGACUGCUCAGUCUUAAGUGUGGUGUAAGCGGAGUACUCAACACUUUAGACUUGUCCAUGUGAAACCUUUUAAGUACCUUUUCAAUGUACUUCUCCUGAGACAAGUGAAUCAGCUUCUCACCUCUGUCUCUAGCAAUUCUCAUACCGAGAAUCUGUUUCGCUGGACCCAAAUCUUUCAUGGCAAAGGACUUCCCGAGUUGCUCUUUUAGCUCCUUAAUUCUUUCCAUGUUCCUGCCCACAAUCAACAUGUCAUCGACAUACAGCAACAAGAUGAUAAAAUCAUCAUCACCAAACACCUUCACAAAAACACAAUGGUCUGAAUCAGUCUCUGCAUAACCAUGCUCCCCCAUAACAGACUUGAACUUCAUGUACCACUGUCUCGGUGCUUGCUUCAAUCCAUAAAGGCUUUUCUUCAAGCGGCAAACCAAAUUUUCUUUGCCCUCUUUAACAUAGCCUUCCGGUUGUUCCAUGUAGAUCUCUUCCUCCAAAUCACCAUGAAGGAAAGCAGUCUUCACAUCCAUUUGCUCAACCUCUAGAUCAAGGCUCGCUGCCAAUCCAAGAACAACCCGAAUGGAUGACAUCUUCACAACAGGAGAAAAGAUCUCAUCAUAAUCAAUCCCCUUCUUCUGGCUGUAACCUUUCACAACCAAUCUAGCCUUGUAUCUGGGUGGCUUAUUUCCAUCUUCAUGCUUAAUUCUGUACACCCACAUAUUAAGCAAAGCCUUCUUGCCCUUAGGCAAUUCCACCAACUCAAAAGUGUGAUUCUCUUUAAAAGAAUCCAUCUCCUCAUCCAUGGCUCCAAACCACAGAUCCUUGUGUUCAUCCUCCAAAGCUUCAUAAUAGCUUUCAGGCUCUCCCCCAUCAGUAAGUAAAACGUACUCACUAGGAUCAUACCUUGUCGACGGUUUAAGACCUCUCUCGGAUCUUCUCACAACAGUAGGUUGGUUCUCAGCAGCUGGUGUCUCACCAUGAUCGUCACCAUGAUCACCAGUGCCAUCUUCAUGUGCGGGAGCAUUUGCACCGGGUGUAUUAUUCUGAACCUCAACCUCAACCUCACCGUGGACUGAUGUAGAAGGAGUAGCCUCUAUAUCGAUCAAACCUUCAUAAACCUGAGUUGGAAUUUUGGACUUGUCAAUGUCCUUAAUUGUUUGAUCUUCCAUGAACACAACAUCUCUGCUCCUUACGAGCUUCUUCUCAACGGGAUCAUAAAAUCUGUACCCGAACUCAUCCUGACCAUAACCGAUGAACACACACUGCCGCGACUUCAUCUCAAGCUUCGAUCUAUCAACCUUGGGAAUAUGAACAAAUGCCUUACACCCAAAGACUCUCAAGUGACUGUAAGAAACAUCCUUACCAGUCCAAACCCUCUCUGGAACAUCACCAUCCAAUGGAGCACUUGGUGACAAAUUCAGCACAUGAACCACCGUGUUCAAAGCUUCUGCCCAGAAAGUCAUCGCUAAGCCUGACUGUGAGAUCAAACAUCUCAUCCUCUCGACAAUCGUCCUGUUCAUCCUUUCAGCCAACCCAUUCAACUGUGGAGUAUAAGGUGGCGUGAACUGAUGCCUUAUUCCAUGCUCUUUGCAAUAAGCAUCAAAUGGUCCAAGAUACUCUCCACCAUUAUCACUGCGGAUACACUUCAGCUUCUUCCCCGUUUGUCUCUCAACCAACGUCACAAAAUGCUUGAAAUAUCCCAGCACCUGAUCCUUCGUCCUCAUAGGAAAUACCCACAACUUCCUUGAAUGAUCAUCAAUGAAAGUCACAAAAUAUGAUGCGCCGCCAAGAGAUCUUGUCUUCAUUGGACCACACACAUCUGAAUGUACCAAAUCCAGUACCUCGGGUUUCCUAGAAGGUGCGGAAGACUUGAAAGAUACCCUGUGUUGUUUUCCCGCAAAGCAAUGCGAACACUUCUGUAGGUGCAAACCAGAGAUUCCUGGAAUCACCUCAUUCUUAGACAACACAGUCAUUCCCUUCUCACUCAUGUGACCGAGUCUCUUAUGCCAUAGCUCCAUGGCAUUAUCAUUCUCCACCGCAUUAACUGCAUCUUUGGAGACCUUAGCCUGCAUCCAAUAGAAGGAUGAAGACUUCUCACCUCGAGCCACAAUCAAAGAACCACGAGAGAGCUUCCAUUUACCACCACCGUGCAAACUGAAAUAACCCUCAUCAUCAAGUCUUCCCGUUGAUAUCAGAUUCAUCCUAAUGUCAGGAACAUGCUUAACAUCCUUAAGCACCAACCUAGUCCCAAGACUAGUCUCCAAGCAUAUAUCACCAAUGCCAGCAACCUGAGCCAUCGCAUCAUUUCCCAUCUUCACGGAACCAUAAUUACCCGUAGUAUAGGUAGAAAACAAAUCCCGCUGUGAAGUUGCAUGAGUAGUAGCUCCACUAUCAAUCACCCAACUGGUGUCUUGGCAUGCGACAUUAAUGGCAUCACCCUCAAGAAGAAUGAGGAACUGAUCUUCGGUGACAGUCACCCGAUCCACCUUUUCUUCUUGAUUACCUUGCUGUUUGUUUUUCAACUUCCAGCAAUCUUUCUUCAUGUGCCCUUUCUUGUGACAGAAAUAGCACUCCAUAUUAGCAAAUUUAUUAGAUUUGCUCCUGCUCCUGUUCUUGUCCCUCUUGGGAUCUCUACUCGAACUCCUCCCCCUUGACUCAGUAACAAAGACAUCUGAACGCGAACUGCUAGCAUUCGAUUGUCUUCUUGCUUCCUCAUUAAGAACACUGUUCUUCACUGAAUCCAUCGAAAUGACACCUUCCGACGCGGAGUUACAAAGAGACAUCCUGAAAACCUCCCAAGAAUCCGGUAAAGUACCGAGAAGCCAUAGACCGUGAAUCUCAUCAUCAAACCUGAUGCCCAUAUCAGACAGCUUGUUGAGCAAUCCCUGAAACGCAUUCAAGUGAUCCGUCAUCGGAGUUCCCUCCUGAUACCUCAGCUCAAUCAACUUCUUGAUCAUGUACAUCUUGUUGUUUCCGGUCUUCCUAGCAUACAACUGCUCCAGCUUCUUCCACAAAGAACGAGCAUCCGUCUCAGUCUCAAUAUGAUGCAACACAUUAUCAUCUACCCACUGCCUUAUCAACCCACACACUUUGCGAUGCAGCAGCUUCCACUCUUGAUCCGUCUUCUCCUCAGGUUUCUUCUCCUCGAAGACUGGAACAUGGAAUUCUUUAACAAAGAGCAGAUCCUCCAUCUUGCCCUUCCAUAGAUGAUAAUUAGCACCAUUCAAGCUUAUCAUCCUGCUCGUAUUUUCCAUCAUUCUCACAAGCAACAAUAACCCGAAGUUAUCAAACCCAAAGCUCUGAUACCACUUUGUUGGGAUCAGAUAAGCAAAUCACGCUAGCUCUGAACCCACACUGUUGGGAAAUAAGAAACGGACACGGCGCAGCGGAACUUUGCGGUCGUGUUUCCCCUGACCUUGUGAGAACCUGAGAGGAGAAUACUUCGACAGUUGCAGGAUUUGAUAUAAGCAAUAAUAAAAUGAGACAAGCAAUUUUAACGUGGAAAACCUCCUCGAUGUGAGAAGGAAAAACCACGGGACCGUAGUCCACUCAACAAUCCACUAUAUAAAUGUAUGUGAGUACAACCACGUCCUCCCUGUUCAACAGCCUGAACAGAACAGAGACACUAGCUUCAAAGAGCUAUCUCCAACACAAGAACAACAACAAUAAGAGAGCAACACAAAGCUUCAAAACCGGCAGCAACCAAACGACCUCAGCUCACAAGUAUUCCGG